AGCAGAGUUAUAGUGAGCGUAUAAUGGGCAAACUGAGUGAGAGACAGACCUGCAAGGUGGGAGAGAAUGAGACAGGUAUAAGGGGAAUCUGAUUAGGAGACAGACCUGAAAGGUGACAGAGAAUGAGACAGAUAUAAGGGAAAUCUGAGUGAGAGAGAGACCUGCAAGGUGAGAGAGAGAGAAUGAGACGGGUAUAAGGGGAAUCUGAGUGAGAGACAGACCUGCAAGGUGAGAGAGAGAGAAUGAGACAGGUAUAAGGGGAAUCUGAGUGAGAGACAGACCUGCAAGGUGACAGAUAAAGAGUGGAGUGCCACUCGAAACGUUGCACAAUGUUGCUGUACUGCCAUGCAAAUAUUUGCAAACAGUAAAGGCGGUUUUAUUGAAAAACUCUGGAGUGCUGUUAUUGGAGAUAUAUAGGUGACGGAGAUAUAUAGGUGACAGAGAGUGAGACGGGUAUAAGGGGAAUCUGAUAAGGAGACAGAUCUGCAAGGUGAAUGAGCAUGAGACAGGUAUAAGGGGAAACUGAGUUAGAGACAGACCAGUUAGGUGAGUGUGAGAACUGAAGGCUGAAUGAGACUGCCAGUGAACUUCAAGCUGGAGCUACAAACUGCCACCUCCUGUGCCCCCAGGUUGCUUAAAGGGGUUGUUGACCUUCCAAACACUUUUUUCAGUUCAGUUGUUUUCAGAUUGUUCCCCAGAAAUAAAGACUUUUUUUCAAUUAC